GGCGAACGGGUGAGUAACACGUGGGUGAUCUGCCUUGCACUCUGGGAUAAGCUUGGGAAACUGGGUCUAAUACCGGAUAGGACCACAUUUUGGAUGGUGUGGUGGAAAGUUUUUCGGUGUGGGAUGAGCUCGCGGCCUAUCAGCUUGUUGGUGGGGUAAUGGCCUACCAAGGCGUCGACGGGUAGCCGGCCUGAGAGGGUGUACGGCCACAUUGGGACUGAGAUACGGCCCAG
rnacentral:rRNA from 1 species